ensembl:snRNA U6 U6 spliceosomal RNA
GUGAUUGCUUUGGCAGCACAUAUACUAAAAAAUUGGAAUGAUGCAGAGAAGAUUAGCGUGGUGCCUGUGCAAGGAUGACAUGCAAAUUUUUGAAGAUACACACAUAUAU